GCUGGGGUGAUUAGUGGCGAACGGGUGAGUAACACGUGAGUAACCUGCCCCUGACUCUGGGAUAAGCCCGGGAAACUGGGUCUAAUACUGGAUAUGCACCGUGGACCGCAUGGUCCUUGGUGGAAAGAUUUUUUGGUCAGGGAUGGACUCGCGGCCUAUCAGCUUGUUGGUGAGGUAAUGGCUCACCAAGGCGACGACGGGUAGCCGGCCUGAGAGGGUGACCGGCCACACUGGGACUGAGACACGGCCCAGACUCCUACGGGAGGCAGCAGUGGGGAAUAUUGCACAAUGGGCGAAAGCCUGAUGCAGCGACGCCGCGUGAGGGAUGACGGCCUUCCGGGUUGUAAACCUCUUUCAGUAGGGAAGAAGCGAAAGUGACG
rnacentral:rRNA from 1 species